AGUUUUGCAGGGGUUACGUUUGCAGUCAGUCCGGUGUUUGCAAAUAUUGUGUGGGCUCGCGAGCGCGUCUCUGGGCUCCGGCAGGAUCCGAACCCGCGGCGCCUAAUUGCUGUGCACUGAGUUUGCAUGAAACUUUCCCCGGCGCUGCAGGCACGGCUGCUGCGCUCUCGACUCCAGACCGCACACCUCCCUGUUUUCACAACAGCAGUGACUGUCUUUUCCAACCCGACAUGGAUGUACUCCCAAUGUGCAGCAUCUUCCAGGAACUCCAGAUUGUGCACGAGACUGGUUACUUCUCGGCGCUGCCCUCCCUGGAGGAAUAUUGGCAACAGUGGCUAGGAAGUUUGAGAUGGUGGGGAGAGGGGAUGCUGCUCUCUCGGCAGUUGUAGCUUCUUGAAAGACCUGCCUGGAGCUGGAGCGUUACCUCCAGAGCGAGCCCUGCUAUGUGUCGGCCUCCGAAAUCAAGUUCGACAGCCAGGAAGAUCUGUGGACCAAAAUCAUCCUGGCUCGGGAGAAAAAGGAGGAUCCGGACCCGAAGCUUUCCUCCACUCCCCCCGAGGAUGCUCUGAACAGCCCCGGCUGUGCUUACAACGUGGAGACCCACAGCCUCAACUCGGACGUGAGCAGCGAGUCUUCCGACAGCUCCGAGGAACUGUCCCCCACCACCAAGUUUUCCUCCGACCCCAUCGGCGAAGUCUUGGUCGGCUCGGGGACCCUGAGCUCGUCCGUCACCUCCACACCCCCUUCUUCUCCAGAACUGAGCAGGGAGGCCUCUCACCUGUGGGGCUGUGUGCCAGGCGAGCCGCACCCUCCCGGGAAGGUGCGCAGUGGGACUGCGGGGAAGCCGGGUGACAAGGGCAGCGGGGACGCAUCCCCAGAUGGCCGCAGGAGGGUGCAUCGGUGCCACUUUAACGGCUGCAGGAAAGUUUACACCAAAAGCUCGCACUUGAAAGCUCAUCAGCGCACUCACACAGGAGAAAAGCCUUACAGAUGCUCAUGGGAAGGGUGUGAGUGGCGUUUUGCAAGAAGCGAUGAGUUAACCAGACACUUCAGAAAGCACACUGGUGCCAAGCCUUUUAAAUGUUCUCACUGUGACAGGUGUUUCUCCAGGUCCGACCACCUGGCCCUGCACAUGAAGAGGCACCUGUGAGGGGGCAGAGCGGCGAAUCCUGCGGGCUAAAAGGCUUCCAGGCUGAGAGACAGCCGUGGAAGGAGGGUGCGUGUUCCAGCCAAAGCAUGCCAUUUUGCACCCCACCCAGCUGCCUCCAGGACCUCUACUGGGAAGGUCUCUCGAGGGCGAACCACGUCACGUCAGAAGCGGCAGGGCACCCGCGGUGUGUGGUGUUUGGGUGGCCCCGACUCACCACCGGUACCUGCCUUCCGAGUGGUCCCCAAGCCCUUGCCGUGAGCAUGUGCACUGAGAAUGUUACUGGUUGGGUUGCCUGUCUGUGGAGGAUCUAUUUCUGACUGUGUGAUGAGGCCGAGGCUUCUCCCUCGCGGUGGCAAGGCCGCGAGAGGCAGCAAACGCGUAGUUUGAAUGUUUUGUGUGUGCGGAGUAUAUACCACGAGAGGAGAUGACCACCAAACAUUUCCUAGGGGGUGGGGUCUGCGCCUUAGAAUAAAAACUAAAAAAAAAAAAAAAAAAAAAAAAAGGGAACAUAUGGAGGGCGGGAGUGGGUGGUCUUGACCCCCGAGUGGCGAGUGGGUGUGGGGAGGGGAGCCCCUUCCCGUGUGAGAGAACGUUCGGUGUCUGGUGCAGCUAUGAAACGUGCAAUGUGUCAAGUAGCUUGUUUACCGGCUACAGGAGCUCAUUUGUUACCCGUCGUAUAAGCUGUGUAUUUACAAAUAUAACACAUCGAUAACUUUUCCUUAUAAGACAAAAAGUAAUGCAUGGUCUGGGGAACUAUCUGCUUUUCCAUUCUUCAAUCAGGACUGCAAUGUCGAUCCCAGUUACUGAGCAGCUAACGUGUGGUUGGUCAACUUCAGCGAUCCCUAGCCAUCUGGGCCUGGCAAUACACAAUCCUCCCCCCCUCCCCCUUCGAUUUUGUAACACUCCCUUUCAGAAAGGCAGUUGUGCAGCAUAGGAUUAUUUUUUAAAUGAUUCUGAAUUUGAAUUCCCUUUUUGGAGACUUUCGUGAUGCCCUGUGAAGGCAUUGGGCCUGUGUUGGGUAUCGAGUGCUAGGGCUGGGAAUUGCCAGUCUAAUGUUCCAUUAGACUCAGAACCUAAAGUUUUUCUCAGUUGGGUGGAUAAAACCACUAAAGCUUCGAAACUGUUUUCUCAUGCAGCUAAGUUUCUCUUAUUUAUGCCUUGAGGACUAAUUUCUGGUUUUCUAGCUGUUAAUGCACUGUAGAUCUUAAUAAUGGUGCCUUAUGCAAGUGGCCCUUCUGCGGGGGGGUCUCAUACAGGGGUAUGGGUGAUGCAUGCUUUAUUAAGGCUCUUUUUUUCACCUGGCAUUGUACUGUAUCAAUAUAUAAUACAGAAAAUCGAAUCUCGUACAAAAGUCCUCCUUCACCAAGACAAACGGAGAGAUAAAACUCCCCAAACAAGUCAGUAUUUACGCGAUAUGUUUUGACAACUUGACUGUCAGUGUUAAAGUGAAAACAGGAUCAUUGGAAAAUCAGACCAUUUCUGCCACCAUGAGACUUUCAUAUAGACUUUGCACAACCAUUGUGUAUAGAUCACACACCGGCUGUAUUUAAUAUGUAACGUUGUCACGCAUAUUAAAGACACAGAAGUAUAAAAAAA